GUCUGCAACCCGACUACAUGAAGCUGGAAUCGCUAGUAAUCGCGGAUCAGAAUGCCGCGGUGAAUACGUUCCCGGGUCUUGUACACACCGCCCGUCACACCAUGGGAGUCGGAAAUGCCCGAAGUCUGUGACCCAACCUUAGGGAGGGAGCAGCCGAAGGCAGGUCCGGUAACUGGGGUGAAGUCGUAACAAGGUAGC
rnacentral:rRNA from 1 species